AUUUAUUACCCUUGUCUUUUGCGCACUUGUUGUUUCCUGGGCGGGUUCGCUCGCCACCAGGACCACAAUAUAAACCUUUUUUAUGCAGUUGCAAUCAGCGUCAGUAUAACAAAUGUAAAUCAUUUACAACUUUCAACAACGGAUCUCUUGGUUCUGGCAUCGAUGAAGAACGCAGCGAAAUGCGAUACGUAGUGUGAAUUGCAGAAUUCAGUGAAUCAUCGAAUCUUUGAACGCACAUUGCGCCCUUUGGUAUUCCAAAGGGCAUGCCUGUUCGAGCGUCAUUUGUACCCUCAAGCUUUGCUUGGUGUUGGGCGUUUUUGUCUUUGGCCCGCCAAAGACUCGCCUUAAAAUGAUUGGCAGCCGGCCUACUGGUUUCGCAGCGCAGCACAUUUUUGCGCUUGCAAUCAGCAAAAGAGGACGGCAAUCCAUCAAGACUCCUUCUCACGUUUGACCUCGGAUCAGGUAGGGAUA
rnacentral:rRNA from 1 species